GGAUGAAGAACGUAGCGAAAUGCGAUAAGUAAUGUGAAUUGCAGAAUUCAGUGAAUCAUCGAAUCUUUGAACGCACCUUGCACCCCUUGGUAUUCCGAGGGGUACACCUGUUUGAGUGUCGUGAAUUCCUCCACUCGGCCGUCUUCUUUUGGAAGGCGUUGCUUUGAGCUGGGAUUUGGGGGUUUCUUGCGGGUCCUCUGGAUCCGCUCCCCUUGAAUGCAUUAGUUGAGGCUCUAAGCGUUUUGCCUUGGUGUGAUAAGUUUAUCUACGCCUCUGCCCUUCGCUCUCGCCGCAAGGCGAAGCCUUGCUUCUAACCGUCCUUCACACGGACAAUCUUCUUUUUAACUUGACCUCAAAUCAGGUGGGACUACCCGCUGAACUUAAGCAUAUCAAUAAGCGGAGGA
rnacentral:misc_RNA from 1 species